AUGACGGAUUCGAAAAUCCCCGACGCGCAAUACGGGUUGGAAAAGGCGCUGACCUUUGCGCUGGCGGCCCAUGCCGGGGCCAACAGGCUGUGCGAAUUCG
rfam:Ruegeria sp. ZGT118 contig_1, whole genome shotgun sequence.